ACCUUGUCGUGGAGCGAGGCUCGGAUCAGCUGCCAGCAGCAAGAGGCCGACCUGCUAAGCAUCUCCAAGCUGCACGAGCAGACGUACAUCAGCGGUAUCCUGAAUGCUUACAGCUCUGCGUUGUGGAUUGGCCUCAAUGACCUGGACCUCAGUGGAGGCUGGCAGUGGUCCGACUCGUCACCACUCAAGUAUCUAAACUGGGAGCCAGAUGAGCCGAAUGUUGAGGAGGAGG